UCAGUCGACUCCUACGGGGAGGCAGCAGUGGGGGAAUAUUGCACAAUCGGGCGCAAGCCUGAUGCAGCCAUGCCGCGUGUGUGAAGAAGGACCUUCGGGUUGUAAAGCACUUUCAGUCGUGAGGAAGGUAGUGUAGUUAAUAGCUGCAUUAUUUGACGUUAGCGACAGAAGAAGCACCGGCUAACUCCGUGCCAGCAGCCGCGGUAAUACGGAGGGUGCGAGCGUUAAUCGGAAUUACUGGGCGUAAAGCGCAUGCAGGUGGUUUGUUAAGUCAGAUGUGAAAGACCCGGGGCUCAACCUCGGAAUAGCAUUUGAAACUGGCAGACUAGAGUACUGUAGAGGGGGGUAGGAAUUUCAGGUGUAGCGGUGAAAUGCGUAGAGAUCUGAAGGAAUACCGGUGGCGAAGGCGGCCCCCUGGACAGAUACUGACACUCAGAUGCGAAAGCGUGGGGAGCAAACAGGAUUAGAUACCCUGGUAG
rnacentral:rRNA from 1 species